GAUGAACGCUGGCGGCGUGCCUAAUACAUGCAAGUCGAGCGAACAGACGAGGAGCUUGCUCCUCUGACGUUAGCGGCGGACGGGUGAGUAACACGUGGAUAACCUACCUAUAAGACUGGGAUAACUUCGGGAAACCGGAGCUAAUACCGGAUAAUAUAUUGAACCGCAUGGUUCAAUAGUGAAAGACGGUUUUGCUGUCACUUAUAGAUGGAUCCGCGCCGCAUUAGCUAGUUGGUAAGGUAACGGCUUACCAAGGCGACGAUGCGUAGCCGACCUGAGAGGGUGAUCGGCCACACUGGAACUGAGACACGGUCCUGGCUCCUACGGGAGGCAGCAGUAGGGAAUCUUCCGCAAUGGGCGGAAGCCUGACGGAGCAACGCCACGUGAGUGAUGAAGGUCUUCGGAUCGUAAAACUCUGUUAUUAGGGAAGAACAAAUGUGUAAGUAACUAUGCACGUCUUGACGGUACCUAAUCAGAAAGCCACGGCUAACUACGUG
rnacentral:rRNA from 1 species